rnacentral:rRNA from 1 species
CGGACGGGUGAGUAACGCGUGGAUAACCUGCCGUAUACUGGGGGAUAACACUUAGAAAUAGGUGCUAAUACCGCAUAAGCGCACAGUCUCGCAUGAGACGGUGUGAAAAACUCCGGUGGUAUACGAUGGAUCCGCGUCUGAUUAGCUUGUUGGCGGGGUAACAGCCCACCAAGGCGACGAUCAGUAGCCGGCCUGAGAGGGUGAACGGCCACAUUGGGACUGAGACACGGCUCAAACUCCUACGGGAGGCAGCAG